rnacentral:rRNA from 1 species
AUUGAACGCUGGCGGCAGGCCUAACACAUGCAAGUCGAACGAGUGGCGGACGGGUGAGUAAUGUCUGGGAAAAUGCCUGAUGGAGGGGGAUAACUACUGGAAAAGGUAGCUACUACCGCAUAACAUCAGAUGUGCCCAGAUGGGUUUAGCUUGUUGGUGGGGUAACGGCUCACCAAGGAGACGAUCCCUAGCUGGUCUGAGAGGAUGACCAGCCACACUGGAACGUAGACACGGUCCAGACUCCGACGGGAGGCAGCAGUGGGGAAUAUUGCGCAAUGGGCGCAAGCCUGACGCAGCCAUGCCGCGUGUAUGAAGAAGGCCUUCGGGUUGUAAAGUACUUUCAGCGGGGAGGCGUUACCCGCAGAGGAAGCACCGGCUAACUCCGUGCCAGCAGCCGCGGUAAUUC